rnacentral:rRNA from 1 species
UUGAACGCUGGCGGCAUGCCUUACACAUGCAAGUCGAACGGCAGCACGGGUGCUUGCCCCUGGUGGCGAGUGGCGAACGGGUGAGUAAUACAUCGGAACAUGUCCUGUAGUGGGGGAUAGCCCGGCGAAAGCCGGAUUAAUACCGCAUACGAUCUACGGAUGAAAGCGGGGGACCUUCGGGCCUCGCGCUAUAGGGUUGGCCGAUGGCUGAUUAGCUAGUUGGUGGGGUAAAGGCCUACCAAGGCGACGAUCAGUAGCUGGUCUGAGAGGACGACCAGCCACACUGGGACUGAGACACGGCCCAGACUCCUACGGGAGGCAGCAGUGGGGAAUUUUGGACAAUGGGCGAAAGCCUGAUCCAGCAAUGCCGCGUGUGUGAAGAAGGCCUUCGGGUUGUAAAGCACUUUUGUCCGGAAAGAAAUCCUUGGCCCUAAUACGGUCGGGGGAUGACGGUACCGGAAGAAUAAGCACCGGCUAACUACGUG